rfam:Felis catus isolate Cinnamon breed Abyssinian chromosome D3, whole genome shotgun sequence.
GCCUGGGUGGCUCAGUCGGUUAAGCAUCUGACUUCAGCUCAGAUCAUGAUCUCACAGUGUGUGGGUUCAAGCCCCAGGUCAGGCU